AUGCAGCAUGCUGGGAAAAUGGAGUCCUACAGCGGCCAUCAAUUGACUCACGGCCACUUCAGGUGGCUGCUCAUGGGAAUCCGUCUUGCCCUCAUGCUAAAGCAGAGAGAAGGUUUCAUUUUCAUGAUCAUGAUUCAAGAAAGCAGGGGAAAGCAGGAAGAAAAUGGGGAAAGGACAUGGGAUGGCUGGCCAUCCCUGAAGACAGACCUUGCCAGAAGAAAACAGGGUAAGACAGUUCCCCACUCUUCCCAGUGCUGUCCCCAUUUUCCCCCAUUUCCCUCCUGCCUGUCUGAUGAAGUCCUAAGCUAAGUUAGAACAGGAAGAAUGUUAAAUUACCAAUGAAAGAUUAAAAAGGAGGUGGAAAGAGGUGGGGUGAGCCCUAAGAAUAUCAUUCCAAGGACAAAUCUGCACGAUCAUAAGAUUAUAUGCAAUACUAUACAAGUUCUACUGCAUAGUAUCCCUGGUCCAUUUUGACCCCUAUACUGUGACACACACAUUUUAAUCUAAGUGAAAUUAUUCUAAAAAGUCACAUGGAAUACCAUUAUGCAACCAUAUCAGUGCAAGGGAGUGUUUCAGCUGCGUGUUCAUGUUUACUACAUGAGCAUAUGUUUGGUCGCAUGGCUGCCACAUCUGCAAGAUUGUGUGUGUGUGUGUGUUUGUGUGGCUGGAUUCCUGCAUCACAUUUAUGUAUUACAUUUGUAUGUCAUCUCAGAAUGCUAGAGCUGCAAUAUUCUUAGUGAGCAAAAUAAAAGUGUAUCUACUAAUGUAUUUGUGUUUUUGCUUAUACCUUACUAUACUUUUUUCAUCCACAAUGUUAAUAUUCUGACAGUAUGAAAACCAAAUGUUAAGGUAAAGGUAAAGGUUUCCCCUGACAUUAAGUCCAGUCGUGACCGACUCUGAAGGUUGGUGCUCAUCUCCAUUUCUAAGCCGAAGAGCCAGCGUUGUCCAUAGACACCUCUAGGGUCAUGUGGCUAGCAUGACUGCAUGGAGCUCCGUUACCUUCCCGCCGGAGCAGUACCUAUUGAUCUACUCACAUUUGCAUGUUUUCGAACUGCUAGGUUGACAGGAGCUGGGGCUAACAGCGGGCGCUCAUUCCGCUCCCGGGAUUUGAACCUGGGACCUUUUGGUCCGCAAGUUCAGCAGUUCAACGCUUUAACACACUGUGCCACCAGGGGCCCCUAAUAGUAAUUAUGUUGAUUAUAUUUUUUCAUUGUAGCAAACUCUUCAGUUGAGACACUUUUCCCCCC
rnacentral:lncRNA from 1 species